GGCUUAGCUCAGCGGUAGAGCAGCGCUUUUGUAAAGCGAAGGUCAUCGGUUCAAAUCCGUUAGC
rnacentral:tRNA from 2 species